GCCUUGGCUCAGUGAUAGAGCACAUGCUUUGCAUGCAAAAGGUCCCAGGUUCAAUCCCCAGGUAGGGCU